AGGUUGGUAUAAGAAUAACAAAUAGGUAGUUGAGAAGCCACGAUUCGCGAGCCUAGUUCAAAAAUAAAAUAAUCGGCACAUAGCUUACAUGCAAAACUCGAUCCAUGCGCAAACACACCCCAUCACUUUCAUCCAGCGUUCUUUUUACGUGACGCGUACUGUAGUAUUUAUAUAUAAA